CGAUACCCUAAUUAAAAAAGAAAGGAAUUAAUUUUUUUUAUUUUCAUCAUGGAAUAACUUUAGGCAUAAAAAAAAUUCGGUAACGAUGGCGAAGGUUCAAAAUGUCAGACUCAGCCAGCCUGGUCGAAAUGAAUUCCAUAUAACGGUCACCAAUUGUCACGUUCUGUCCUAGGUCCUGUAUACUAAUAGUUGGCUGUAAAGUUUGUGUCCUAAUUGGAUUAUUAGAUCAUAUUACAACAGAAUAUUAGCAACUAGACUUUUGCUUUUUAUACUACAAAACAUAAAAUAAUAAUCUCGUUUAAAAAAAGAUCUCUUCGUGUGGGUUCACAGUACAAAUGCGGGAUAUAGCACCUAACACUUUACUUAUGUAGACAAUUAAAAUUGCGUCAUUCUCGAGAAAGGAGAAUCUCAUAACAAGCAGAUAAAUAAAAAGCAAAAAAUCCCAUUGUUAAGAUACAGAGGUGCAUCACCCAUCCAUCCACCAGUGCAAGUGUUGUCGAGUGUCGUGUUUACUGGAAUGAAAGCGAACUCUGACGUUCUUAAAAAAAAUCUACUUUCUUUUAAGCGUGUUACGACAUUCACAUCACAACGUUAAAAGUGAAGCUGUAUACCAUACUUCACCAUACUUCAUCUCACGACGAAUGUGCAUUGUACCCUUCAGACGAAACAUUUCUGGUUGAUUUGAAUACCAAGUAUGCAAUAUAAAGCUUCAUAUUGAGCUAACUAGCGUUGAUUAUAUGAUUUGAACCAAAAACAUGUGUGUUCUAUUUCACUAAUAAUUCGAAAAAAAUAUAGUGAUUACUAUGUUUAUGCCCAACAAGGUUGAUUUUAUCAGCAACCUCAAUUUUGUUCCACUGCAAAAAAUGUAUGUUUAAUCUCAACAUUUGCUUUUACACGCAGCUUAGUUGCACAAUUUAAGGUUACAUUGGCAUUAGGGUUACUAACUCUAACAGUGGUAUUGAAUCUGUUUUACCAUAUUCGCUUCCAUUUUCCUCCACUUUAUCGCUGCUACCACAAGGCUGCACUGCGAAUGAGAGGUGGAUUAUUUCGCACUCCAUUAAAUUAGCGUAAUCCGGUAUAUUGCAUCCUGCCAGUACUAUCAACAGGUUUUCGAUUUUGCCAUUUGGAUAAGCUGAAACAGCUCGAACUUUUUUUGUUCAAGACUACAGAACCAAUUUAAUAGAAAACUGGACGCAUGAGUUUGUGAAUUGCGGAUAGGUAAACUGUUCUUUCGUAACAAUAACUAACAUUCUGUGUUUAAUACAAGACAAUUUGCAUACAAAUGGUUGAAACUCUCGAACUAAUGCAGAUAGUACGCAUUUUAUUGGUGUUGGCACAGCAUAUAUGGUUGCGAUUAUGUGGUACUUUUGAUCACAUGGAGAGUUAAGUAUGACAUAACAUCGAUAAGUGAUCUCCCAGUUUGCUCCGAGGUACGAUGCUGGGCUAACAACGCAAAUUGUCGUGGGUUCAAAUCUCCCCUGGGGAGAGACUGUUAGUGGCAAUAAGAAUUGUCCUCUACACCUAUAGAUAAUUGCAAACGAAAAAUAACUUCACUUUUUAUGUGAUAAGCCCAAUUUAGAGUUCCAAGCGAAGUGAAAAUCUCAUACAAAAUGUUCAUUUUUCCACGCUCGUGAAAAAUGCAACCGGUGAAAAAGCAGCAGCAAGCGAAACCUUGCGUGCGUUUAUAUUCUGCCAGUUGCAGCCAAUUUUCACUUCGCUCGGAGUGUAAACACGUUAAUUUCGCUUCACUUAAACUGUAAACUGUAGGCUGGUGAAAUACAUACGCGUUCUACAAACGGGUUUUCACGACAGAUUUUGCAAGCGAAAAUUUACGCUUUUUCACUCGUCGAAUUUUUCACUUCGCUUGGAACUGUGAACUAUGCUACAAGAGUAAAAAUGAAUGAUACGAGUACGAAAAAGAUGGAAAAACUCUCCGCGAAUUCAUUACUGUGAUCUUUUGGUUUAUUCUUGGAAACGCAAUUUUCAACAAGACACUUCCGCAUUUUUAUUCGAGCCGAAAAUUUUACUAUGUAAACAAACCCGCAACAACUGUCAAAUCUCUUUCUUUUUCUUGUUUUGUGACGUCAUCGUGCAAUGAUCUAUAAUUGGCCGCGAAGUGUGUGUAAAAUAAACAGAAUGUCUAGUUCCGAGACGGAAUGUAGCACAACAAAAAUAAAGAAAAAACAGCGAUAAGAGUGAUCCAAUGGUCAAACAAUGUUUUUAUCAGAGUACUAAACUUGAGAACUGGGCUUCGAAACAAAUAAAAAAUUGUUUUAUCCUUCAAUAAUAUUCGUUUCACAAAUAUCAACGUACAUGAGCAAUAAAUGUUUGAACCUGCUUCUUGUGCUUCCGAUGGAGACGACUAGUACUAAGUUCAGCAUUCAUUGAUGUAUGCGUGAGCAUGUCUAAUCAUAUAUUGAGCUGAACAAGAGAAACAUACAUUUACUGUUGGUUGGAUAAUAUCUAAAAUAAAAAUCCUCACUUUUAUUGCAAUUUCCCUCGCCGAUCAAGGUAAAAGUGAGGUGAUAAAAGGAAUGCAUAGAAUAACGCACAUAUUGCAGGAUGCAAUCUAUAAGAAAGAUAUAUGGCAGCAAAAAAAAGCAAUGCACAUGAAAAUAUCAUCUAUGAAACGCUUUUCAAAGAAUUCGCUCACAAAAAUUACUAAGAGGAACGUUGGAAGAACUGUUCUGCCUCGAAGGUUAUGCAAAGAUUCUUCACAUGAAACUAUACCCGACCAUGUCUGCUUACCAUUUUACCCUGCAGCAUUCAUUUCUUUUCACUUUUCGAAUUCAGAUUUACAUGAAUAAUAAUCCCAUUCUCUUCUUGCGCGAUUUUACAAAACGCCGUAUACAGAAUCUGAAAAGUUCAUAAAACGCGUAAAUUCAAAAAAAUUAGCGUAGCGGUACAUAUUUAUUAAUUUUAUUUAUUUAUUUAUUUAUUUAUUUAUUUACAAAUAAUGAUGUCUGUGAGCCUUGGGCUCGAAGAGGUUGACUAGCUUGACAAUUAACAUAUGUUUGGCUUUUUUUAUAGACGGUAUAGGAAAGAAAUAUGCAGAAAUGGUACCGUGAAACGGGGCGAAUAGAAACAGUCUGCGAUAUAUCUUGCAGUGUACAAAAAAUACUAUAAUGUAUAGAAUGAAUAUAAAAGUUUUAAAACAUGGGUCUUGCCUCCCUUUAUUAAGGGUGUAACGUCCAUUUUAAUAAAAUAAGUGUAGGAACUCGUCUAAAUCUCACUAGAGAGUGAGAGAUCGAAUGAGAAUGAGAUCCAGAUUAGAACAUCUGAGCAUGUAAAGGUAUAAAGGAGUAAAGGAGAAAUAUACGACAGAUCAUGUUGUACAACCAAGCUAUCAAGACGUGUUCUAUUUUAUUGGCGACGAGGAUUAAUUUUUGCUCCAUUUUAAGUUUCAAUUUCGAUGAUUUAAGAAACCUAUCUCUAUCUGCUAAAACUAUUACCUAAGAAAAUGAGAAUUAAAAAAACCUGAAAGUUAAGUGAAAUAAAUGAUUUGGCGAAGAUUUGCUAUUAGUUUUUGAAAAGUUGCAUGAAAAUUCGGCCACCUUUUUGGAGAAACAGACUCUGCUCACCGAUUUUCAUCACCUUUGUUGCAUUUAACCGGUUGGCCCGAUUCAACUCACUCCUCACGUCGUUCCAUUUUCCAUUUUAUUCCGCUGUGAGACUUCAGUGUGAAGAACGACAGUGAGCAAACGAUUCACGUAAUCAGAGGAGGAAAAGUGCAACAUAGUAACAUCUGCAUCAGUGAAUUUUAUUACAUUUUGCGGAAAGAGAUAUCGCAAGAUAGAAAAAAAUUUUCCGGUGGAAGCUUUGGAUUACUGCUGGACUGUUGCUGUUUGCUGUUGAGUGCUGGAUUUGCUGCUGUUUGCUGAAAGAAUAAAAACUACGGCGAGUUGGAUUGUUGAGUUGCUGCUGUUGCUGGUUGGUGUUCUGCUGAUUUCCCUCGGUGGCCGGAUCAUAUCCGCCCAUAGGCGCCAAAUCAAACCACCAACAACUUCUCGCCAGAAAACACGAAAACGUGUUGUUUUCCAAGAAGAGAAUUUUGUUGAUCCAAACCACAAUCCAAACCCAGCACCACCACAUGAUAAUGUUUCCAGUACUAAAUCCAACAAAAGGAAGCGAGAUGAAGAGCAGUUUCACGAAAAGGAACCGGAGUCGGAUCCAGAAUAUUAUGGUUUCGCAGCGGAAUCGUGCAUCUACAGGAGCGAGCCCGAUUCGAAGGAAGCAUCGGAAUCGAUAAGAAAAUCAAGAAGAAUGCAUAAGAAACGAAGAAUACAAGAUUUUCAUUAUUAUUAAUAUGUUUCAAUUGUUAAUUUGCGAUUUCAGUUUAGUAUUCAAUUUUAUAUUAAACGUUUAUAUUACAGAACACUCUGUUUUCGAAGCAUGAACUUAGAUAUAGUCAAAAUUAUAGUUGAAUUUUUGAACAUAUUGUAAUUAAAACUAUUUCAUAGUUUUAUCUAAAGGGAAGAUUAGCCGUAGUGAACUCGUCUAAACCUCACUAGAGAGUGAGAGAUCAAAUGAGAAUGAGAUCCAGAUUAGAACAUCUGAGCAUGUAAAGGUAUAAAGGAGUAAAGGAGAAAUAUACGACAGAUCAUGUUGUACAACCAA